UGAUUAUGAUGAGGAUGAAGAUGAUGAUGAUGAAGAUGAUGAUAAUACUCAUAAUCAUCAUCAUCAUCAUCAACAACAUCAUCAUCAUCAUCAUUA
rnacentral:pre_miRNA from 1 species